AUUGAACGCUGGCGGCAGGCCUAACACAUGCAAGUCGAGCGGAUGAAGGGAGCUUGCUCCUGGAUUCAGCGGCGGACGGGUGAGUAAUGCCUAGGAAUCUGCCUUGUAGUGGGGGAUAACGUCCGUAAACGGGCGCUAAUACCGCAUACGUCCUGAGGGAGAAAGUGGGGGAUCUUCGGACCUCACGCUAUCAGAUGAGCCUAGGUCGGAUUAGCUAGUUGGUAGGGUAAAGGCCUACCAAGGCGACGAUCCGUAACUGGUCUGAGAGGAUGAUCAGUCACACUGGAACUGAGACACGGUCCAGACUCCUACGGGAGGCAGCAGUGGGGAAUAUUGGACAAUGGGCGAAAGCCUGAUCCAGCCAUGCCGCGUGUGUGAAGAAGGUCUUCGGAUUGUAAAGCACUUUAAGUUGGGAGGAAGAGAAGUAAGUUAAUACCUUGCUGUUUUGACGUUACCAACAGAAUAAGCACCGGCUAACUUCGUG
rnacentral:rRNA from 1 species